rnacentral:rRNA from 1 species
CUCAAAGAUUAAGCCAUGCAUGUCUCAGUAUAAACGAUUUAACAGUGAAACCGCGAACGGCUCAUUACAACAGGUAUAAUUUACUUGAUCUUGAAAGAAUCCUACUUGGAUAACUGUGGUAAUUCUAGAGCUAAUACAUGCCCUAAAGCUCUGACCUCGCGGGAAGAGUGCAUUUAUUAGAUCAAAACCAAGCGGCUUCGGCCGUCUACCACUGACUUAAAGUAACUAAGCUGAUCGUAUGGUCUUGUACCGACGACGUAUCUUUCAAGUAUCUGCCUUAUCAACUUUCGAUGGUAGUGUAGUGGACUACCAUGGUUGUGACGGGUAACGGAGGAUAAGGGUUCGACUCCGGAGAGGGAGCUUGAGACACGGCUACCAUGUCUAAGGACAGCAGCAGGCGCGCAAAUUACCCACUCUCAGAACGAGGAGGUAGUGACGAAAAAUAACGAGACCGUUCUCUAUGAGGCCGGUCAUCGGAAUGGGUACAAUCUAAACCCUUUAACGAGUAUCUAUGAGAGGGCAAGUCUGGUGCCAGCAGCCGCGGUAAUUCCAGCUCUCAAAAUGCAUAGAAUUAUUGCUGCGGUUAAAAAGCUCGUAGUUGGAUCUGUGCUGGGAACUGGGUCCGCCUUCGGGUGUGCACUCAGCUUCCCGGCUUUUUGCUGGUUUUCCCGUUGUGGCCUUUACCGGUUGCAGCGGGUGGCUGGCGAGUUUACCUUGAAGAAAUCAAAGUGCUUAAUACAGGCGAUUUGCUUGAAUGUGGUGCAUGGAAUAAUAGAAAAGGAUUUCGGUUCUCUUUUAUUGGUUUUACGAGCUGAGAUAAUGGUUAACAGAGACAAACGGGGGCAUUCGUAUCGUUGCGUGAGAGGUGAAAUUCUUGGACCGCAGCGAGACGAACUACAGCGAAAGCAUUUGCCAAGAAUGUCUUCAUUAAUCAAGAACGAAAGUCAGAGGUUCGAAGGCGAUCAGAUACCGCCCUAGUUCUGACCGUAAACGAUGCCAACUAGCGAUCCGCCGGCGGAUAUUUCGCCCUGGUGGGGAGCUUCCCGGAAACGAAAGUCUUCCGGUUCCGGGGGAAGUAUGGUUGCAAAGCUGAAACUUAAAGGAAUUGACGGAAGGGCACCACCAGGAGUGGAGCCUGCGGCUUAAUUUGACUCAACACGGGGAAACUCACCCGGCCCGGACACCGUGAGGAUUGACAGAUUGAAAGCUCUUUCUUGAUUCGGUGGUUGGUGGUGCAUGGCCGUUCUUAGUUCGUGGAGUGAUUUGUCUGGUUUAUUCCGAUAACGAGCGAGACUCUAGCCUGCUAAAUAGUUGGCGAAUCUUCGGGUUCGUAUAACUUCUUAGAGGGAUAAGCGGUGUUUAGCCGCACGAGAUUGAGCGAUAACAGGUCUGUGAUGCCCUUAGAUGUCCGGGGCUGCACGCGUGCUACACUGGUGGAGUCAGCGGGUUUUUCCUAUGCCGAAAGGUAUCGGUAAACCGUUGAAAUUCUUCCAUGUCCGGGAUAGGGUAUUGUAAUUAUUGCCCUUAAACGAGGAAUGCCUAGUAAGUGUGAGUCAUCAGCUCACGUUGAUUACGUCCCUGCCCUUUGUACACACCGCCCGUCGCUAUCCGGGACUGAACUGAUUCGAGAAGAGUGGGGACUGUCGCUUCGAGGUUUAACGACUUCGUUGUUGCGGAAACCAUUUUUAUCGCAUUGGUUUGAACCGGGU